rnacentral:rRNA from 1 species
GUCUAUGGCCAUACCCUAUCCUGUCUAAUCUCGGAAGCUAAACAGGUUCGGGCCUGGUUAGUACGUGGAUGGGAGACCACCUAGGAAGACCAGGUGCUAUAAGCA